rnacentral:lncRNA from 1 species
AUUUUUCAGUGUGUUUAUCCACAUACAUUAAAUGGAAUACUGCUAGAUGUUAAUAGUCUAACGUUCUUAUUUAUCAGCAGUCACUCUCACUGAUUUGACUUGGGAGAGGAUACUGCAGCAGGGACAUAUUCCUUGUAGUGGAGAAGAACAUACAUUUUGGUAACCUGGAAAAUCAGAGUAUAGGAAAAGGAAAGUUACAUUUAUUUGAAGGAUGUUCUACCAAAAAUGCUGAAGAUUGUCUUUCAGGAGCCUACAGCUUUGCUUUUAGCCUUGAAGAAAGAAAGGAGUUCUGCAGGGUUGCGGUGAACAGCAUCCUACUCGGCAGGUCCUGUUGUGCAGUAGAGCUUUUCCAUGACUGUUGCUGACAUAGCCUGCUCAGGCAUGUGUAACAGCUGAGUGUACAUAGUCACUUACUCCUACAUAAGAAAGUGGAAUCAGCUGCCUUGUUACAAGUCAUAUUAUAGAUGGCAAAUCUGAGGGAUAAGCAUUGUCUUUUUAUUCUGUAUUCAUGCAGUACUUAGCACAGUGGUGUCUUGUUCAAUAAAGAAAGAUCCUAAGUGAUUCCUCA